UACGUAGGGGCGAGCGUUGUCCGGAAUUAUUGGGCGUAAAGAGCGUGUAGGCGGCCCGAUGAGUCGGCUGUGAAAGUCAAGGGCUCAACCCUUGAAUGCCGGCCGAUACUGUCGGGCUAGAGUCCGGAAGAGGCGAAUGGAAUUCCCGGUGUAGCGGUGAAAUGCGCAGAUAUCGGGAGGAACACCAAUGGCGAAGGCAGCUCGCUGGGACGGUACUGACGCUGAGACGCG
rnacentral:rRNA from 1 species